rnacentral:rRNA from 1 species
ACGAACGCUGGCGGCGUGCUUAACACAUGCAAGUCGAACGGAAAGGCCCCUUUGGGGGUACUCGAGUGGCGAACGGGUGAGUAACACGUGAGUAACCUGCCCUUGACUUCGGGUUAACUUCAGGAAACUGGGGCUAAUACCGGAUAGGAAUCCUUGCUGCAUGGUGGGGGUUGGAAAGCUUCGGCGGUUUUGGAUGGACUCGCGGCUUAUCAGCUUGUUGGUGGGGUAGUGGCUUACCAAGGCUUUGACGGGUAGCCGGCCUGAGAGGGCGACCGGCCACAUUGGGACUGAGAUACGGCCCAGACUCCUACGGGAGGCAGCAGUGGGGAAUAUUGCACAAUGGGCGGAAGCCUGAUGCAGCAACGCCGCGUGCGGGAGGACGGCCUUCGGGUUGUAAACCGCUUUCAGCAGGGGCGAAGCUUGUGGUGACGGUACCUGCAGAAGAAGCACCGGCUAACUACGUG